rnacentral:rRNA from 1 species
AGAGUUUGAUCCUGGCUCAGGAUGAACGCUGGCGGCAUGCCUAAUACAUGCAAGUCGAACGAAGUUUCGAGGAAGCUUGCUUCCAAAGAGACUUAGUGGCGAACGGGUGAGUAACACGUAGGUAACCUGCCCAUGUGUCCGGGAUAACUGCUGGAAACGGUAGCUAAAACCGGAUAGGUAUACAGAGCGCAUGCUCAGUAUAUUAAAGCGCCCUUCAAGGCGUGAACAUGGAUGGACCUGCGGCGCAUUAGCUAGUUGGUGAGGUAACGGCCCACCAAGGCGAUGAUGCGUAGCCGGCCUGAGAGGGUAAACGGCCACAUUGGGACUGAGACACGGCCCAAACUCCUACGGGAGGCAGCAGUAGGGAAUUUUCGUCAAUGGGGGAAACCCUGAACGAGCAAUGCCGCGUGAGUGAAGAAGGUCUUCGGAUCGUAAAGCUCUGUUGUAAGUGAAGAACGGCUCAUAGAGGAAAUGCUAUGGGAGUGACGGUAGCUUACCAGAAAGCCACGGCUAACUACGUGCCAGCAGCCGCGGUAAUACGUAGGUGGCAAGCGUUAUCCGGAAUCAUUGGGCGUAAAGGGUGCGUAGGUGGCGUACUAAGUCUGUAGUAAAAGGCAAUGGCUCAACCAUUGUAAGCUAUGGAAACUGGUAUGCUGGAGUGCAGAAGAGGGCGAUGGAAUUCCAUGUGUAGCGGUAAAAUGCGUAGAUAUAUGGAGGAACACCAGUGGCGAAGGCGGUCGCCUGGUCUGUAACUGACACUGAGGCACGAAAGCGUGGGGAGCAAAUAGGAUUAGAUACCCUAGUAGUCCACGCCGUAAACGAUGAGAACUAAGUGUUGGAGGAAUUCAGUGCUGCAGUUAACGCAAUAAGUUCUCCGCCUGGGGAGUAUGCACGCAAGUGUGAAACUCAAAGGAAUUGACGGGGGCCCGCACAAGCGGUGGAGUAUGUGGUUUAAUUCGAAGCAACGCGAAGAACCUUACCAGGGCUUGACAUCCUACUAACGAAGUAGAGAUACAUCAGGUGCCCUUCGGGGAAAGUAGAGACAGGUGGUGCAUGGUUGUCGUCAGCUCGUGUCGUGAGAUGUUGGGUUAAGUCCCGCAACGAGCGCAACCCUUGUCGCAUGUUACCAGCAUCAAGUUGGGGACUCAUGCGAGACUGCCGGUGACAAACCGGAGGAAGGUGGGGAUGACGUCAAAUCAUCAUGCCCCUUAUGGCCUGGGCUACACACGUACUACAAUGGCGACCACAAAGAGCAGCGACACAGUGAUGUGAAGCGAAUCUCAUAAAGGUCGUCUCAGUUCGGAUUGAAGUCUGCAACUCGACUUCAUGAAGUCGGAAUCGCUAGUAAUCGCAGAUCAGCAUGCUGCGGUGAAUACGUUCUCGGGCCUUGUACACACCGCCCGUCAAACCAUGGGAGUCAGUAAUACCCGAAGCCGGUGGCAUAACCUAAGGGAGUGAGCCGUCGAAGGUAGGACCGAUGACUGGGGUUAAGUCGUAACAAGGUAUCCCUACGGGAACGUGGGGAUG